GUGCCAGCAGCCGCGGUAAUACGUAGGGUGCGAGCGUUAAUCAGAAUUACUGGGCGUAAAGCGUGCGCAGGCGGCCUUAAAAGUCAGAUGUGAAAUCCCCGAGCUCAACUUGGGAACUGCGUUUGAAACUCUAAGGCUAGAAUAUGUCAGAGGGGGGUAGAAUUCCACGUGUAGCAGUGAAAUGCGUAGAGAUGUGGAGGAAUACCAAUGGCGAAGGCAGCCCCCUGGGAUAAUAUUGACGCUCAUGCACGAAAGCGUGGGGAGCAAACAGGAUUAGAUACCCUGGUAGUCAACGUCCUAAACGAUGUCUACUAGUUGUUGGUGGAGUAAAAUCCAUGAGUAACGCAGCUAACGCGUGAAGUAGACCGCCUGGGGAGUACGGUCGCAAGAUUAAA
rnacentral:rRNA from 1 species